UGAGGGUUCUAAAUGAGGAUUGUUUACAUCCCUACUCUGUCGAAAUAGGGCGAAACGUCGCGGCAACUCGAAAAUAAUUAAUUGAUUCAAUUUUAACAAAGUUUAAAAAUAAACGAGUUUUAAAAAAGAGUCGCCACCUAAUUUUAGGAAAACUAGGAAACCGUUAAAUGAUCUACGAAACCAAAUUGGUUCUAGGUAAGGAGUUCAAGUUAUUCCGAAUGGAAGGAGUUAGGCACCCUUCGAAAUCCACAAUUGUGGUCCCUGACUGAAUUCAUUUUUUUUUUCAAAUUGAGGAAGAAUAUAAAAUAAUGUACAGAUAUAAUAAACAUGCAAUAUACAAAAUAAAAACAAAAUAAUAAUCGGUCUAAAGUUUGCCCAACAGUUAGAAUUGCAGGUAAAUCUCCCAUUCUUUUUUUUUAAAGAUUGAAUUAAGGUAAUUCCUACAACUUCAAGUGGUUCCUCAAAUAUACUUAAGGAUCAACAAGAUCCGUUCAUCUUGUAUCAAACAAAGAUUUUGAAUUGUAUCAAUCCUCAUGUUUCAAGUGCCCUCACGACAAAGGCUAGUCCUAUUUCACACAUAUUUGAAACAUUUGACUAUAGGACAUUUUUCAAACUGCACUCACACUUACAAGAAUGUUCAAUGUAUACAACUGUGAUACAAUAUGCUUGACCCUUAUGUAAAUCUCCACUAAUGUGAGAACAUUUGGAAUGAGAUUAUGUAGGGCUUGUCAUUGGCAUGUAACGUAGGCUUAGGGAUGGGUAGGAUAUUUAUUUGAGGUAAAAGUGACUGAUUCCUCCUUGAGCGUCACACAUAAUUUGUGCUCUUAAUAAUUGUUAUGUCUUUGACGUUAGAUCCUCUUCAUUGUUCUCCCACCUUUCAUCUUCUUUUGAAUUUUCAUUUUAAAUGCUUUCCCUUUUUUUUGAGCUUUUCUCUUCAUCUCUUCUUUUUUUUUUCUUUUGAGUCCUUAUCUGUUGAAGCUUUUAUUUUAUUCACUUCUUUAUUAUAAUAAUUUUUCUUUUUUUUGUUGGAAUAUUUUCCUUCCCACCUUUCACUGAUCCUGUAAAGGAAUUUUUCGCCUUUCUUUAUUUCUUCCACUUUUUUUUUCUUUUUCUCUAGAGUCUUUGUUUCCUUGAUUUUGGGAGACUCAAUAUCUUUGCUUUUUGAAAUUUCAAACAUGGAUCUCCUGUUAUAAUUUGCACAUUCUUUGUGCACUCAAGGAGGUUGGGCCAAGAGAGGAUAGUGCUUGUAAGCACUCAAAAGGGUAGUGAAUAGGAUUUGGUUGUCCAAAUGAAGGUUUCAGGCUCAAAAUGGGAAAACUAGGGAUUAAUGUAAUUGGUUAGGCUUUGAAAGGCACAAUCGAGUCAAAAAGGCCUACAAUCCCUUCUCAAACCAAACAUUACUCAUGAUUUCGCCUCGAAAAACAUUCAGGUCAAGUUCUAGAUCAACAGUGUAACACAAUUGAACUUUGAUCAAAAUCUCACCACACAAUGCACAUGAAACAUAAGGUUGGUUUUAUUCUUAUCUUGAUUGCAUGCAAGAGAAUUUUCAGUUAUCACAAAAGUACAUAUAAAAGGUACCACGAGAAUCUAUGGUUUACCGCAAAGCCAGUCUUUUCAACCAUAUCGAAUGUAUUUACACGCUCUUAACAGCAUAGGUUCCGACCGAGUUGAAGACAUGACUCUUACCAUAUGUACAAAUAAUUUUUUUUUUAUUUUUUGCAAAAGAUAAUACCGAACCCAAGAAGGGUUGCCUACGUAUCUCAUUAAAAAUGAGAAUCAGGUACGCGUAGUUCGCGCAUAUAUGACUUGAAAAAUAUGCACAAACUAUUUUAUAAUUUUUUUUUUGAAAAAGAUCAUACCGAACCCAAGAAGGAUUGCCUACAUAUCUCAUCGAAAUGAAAAUCAGGUACGCGUAGUUCGGCCAGAUAUGGCUGGAAAAAUAUGCGCAAACUAUUAAUUAAUUUUUUUUUUUUAAAAAAAAUAAUACCGAACCCAAAAAGGGUUGCCUACGUAUCUCAUUAAAAUGAGAAUCAGGUACGCGUAGUUCGACAGAUAUAGCAUAUAAGAAUUUAAAGAGUUAGACAAUUCAAAGAAAUUCCUAUGUCUAGCGCCACUAAAAUUUGUUUCCAUGAAAUGCUUUUUUUUUAAACCAAUAUGUUUUAUAGCCUCUUAAUCGUCAAUAUUUAUACUGUCUGUUGAAUGUACCCUACGAAUUUCUACAGUAGUGAUUUGUUGUACUCUUUUUGGAUGUUUUCUUGGAUCUUUGUCUCCUUCCACUUUUCACGAGAUCCAGACAUUGUUAUGACCAUCCCCGACUGAUGUCGGGGACGGUAUUCCUACAAAAAUAUGAGAAAUAUGUGAGAGCAGGACCAUCAUGCAAAAUAAUAAUAAAAAUAAGUGGGUGCCACCUCAUAGUCAAAUACUCCCCCUAAUUUAUCGUUUUGACUUGAUAUUAGCGCCUUGUGAAAUACAAGGACUCGAAGUUCGUUAAUCCUCUUGUCUCUUGCGACUUCAGACAAAAAAUGAUUUCUGAAUUUGAACAUAAAUUAUUUUUUCAUUGUAAAGAAGAGCAACUCAAAAUGUAAAAGUGUUAGUUCCUGUAAUUAAUAAAUAAUGCAAAAUAUCACACAAAUAAUGAAUAAAACACAAAAAUAUUGUUUUAAUUAAAGACAAACUGAAUAUAUUACAUAGUAUACAAACAAUUAUUGCGCGUCCUAUACAAAUAUGUGACCCUUUUAUGCCUAGGGUAGGCCUAUCGAUUUGAAGGAUGUAUACGUCAUUUGAAAUAUUUCAUUGCCUCAAAACUCAAAUUUAUACAAAUUUUAUGAAUAAAACUUAAUGGGAAUACAUAAUAGGGGAAAUGUAUACAAAAUAAUCAAUCCCACGCAGGAGUACAACCCUAAACUAUGCCUCCACGAAAGAUCCUUCAGCUUUCUUGAUUUGUUGUCAUCUCUGGGUGCCAAUAUCUUCGAUUAGACUAGUAGCUGGUGAAGCACUUUCUUUAACCUAAGCAAACUAUAAUCUAAUCCUUAUCCUAUGAGACAAUGAUUUUCUCAAACAACGUAUACAUCCUUCAAAUUUAAACACAUAAGUAUGAACGUCCUUUAAAGUCGUGGGUCGUUUUGGACUCAAGGUGGUCUUCUAAUGGGCACAACACGCCUUGUGUGUUGGUCAUCUUAGGCUGAUGCUUAAAUUCGGAUUUGGUUUAGCUUUAUCCUAGUUGACUAAGAGUGGCUUUUGAAAGACCGGGAACCCAAGCGGACAACUUAGGCUGGAAUUCACGACAACCAUUGGAUGCAUAAGGAACCAAUAAAUUGCCAAUCAUUCCGAAAAAGGAUUGAGUAUUUUAAAAUCCGGUUGCGGUUCCGCAAACCAUCCUUUAAUAUACUAUGCAUACAUAUUGGAAGAUGCCAUGAAUGCAAAUAAAUAAAAAAUAUAUAUACACAAUAAAAUAAAUAAUGAAUAAAUACAAUAAACAAAUAAUCAACAAAUAUAAAAUACAAGGUAUAACAUAAUAAUAAAGCAAAAAUUUCCUCAAUUUGAAAAAUUAAAUUCAUAUUGGUUAAAACCUCUAAAGUCCCCAGCAAAGUCGCCAUUCUGUUUACAUCCCUACUCUGUCGAAAUAGGGCGAAACGUCGCGGCAACUCAAAAAUAAUUAAUUGAUUCAAUCUUAACAAAGUUUAAAAAUAAACGAGUUUUAAAAAAGAGUCGCCACCUAAUUUUAGGAAAACUAGGAAACCGUUAAAUGAACUACGAAAUCAAAUUGAUUCUAGGUAAGGAGUUCAAGUUAUUCCGAAGGGAAGGGGUUAGGCACCCUUCGGAAUCCACAAUUGUGGUCCCCGACAGAAUUCAUUUUUUUUUUCAAAUUGAGGAAGAAUAUAAAAUAAUGUACAGAUAUAAUAAACAUGCAAUAUACAAAAUAAAAACAAAAUAAUAAUCGGCCUAAAGUUUGCCUAACGUCAAUAUUUACAAAAUAAUGAAAUAGUAUAAUUCGAGCUUUUUCGAAUGAUUCAAGGAGAUACACCUCCGGGUACCUGUAAAGACACUUAGUAAAAGAGUUAGUACCAAAUAAAUAUAAAUAAAAAUGAAUAACUCAAAUAAUAACUAAAAAAUAAAAAUCCGUCUUAUUAAUAUGGGAGGCCUUGGAAAUCGAUGGAAAUUUCUUCAUCGGCCAUUCCAACAACUAAAAUUAUAUAUAAACUUUAAAUUAGAUUUCCGUCUUUUAAAAAUAGGAAGGCCUCUAAACCCAACGGAUAGAUUUUUCAUUGGCCACUUUCAACAUAUAAAAUAUAUAAACUUGAAUUAAAAUUCCGUCUUUUAAAAUGGGGAGGCCUCUAAACCCGACGGAUAGAUUUUUCAUCGGCCCCUUCAACAUAUAAAUAUUAAUAUCUAUAAAACUAAUAAUAUAAGCACAUAUCACUACACUGUAAUUAAAUACAAAUAAACUACUUAAGCUUGCCAAACAAAUAAAAUAAUGAAAAUAACUACAAAAGUAGUCAAACAUAAAAGCUAACAGUGAGAAAUAGGGAAAAGACAAAUUAAAACAAUGAGAAAUAAUUGUGUCCACGGAGAUGUCACUGAGGGGUGCUCACUAUAUAUAUAUAUUUUUUUAAUAUUACCAAAGAAGGAAUAUAAUAAACACAUAUUAAGCAUCUUGAGCAUAGAUCUAAGAAGGAAAAAAAAUGGAAAUUGAUAGAAUAUAGCCGACACAAUAGCCAACAAAUAGAAACAAAGUAUGUCAUUUAUGUUAACAAAAAAUGGUUCAAACUUAAUAAUAAACAAAACAUACAAAAAUAUAAAUAAAGCAUAAUAAUACUUAACCAUUUUAACAACUAAAAUAGAUGGACUUAAACUAAAAUUUUCCGUCUUUUAAAAUGGGAAGGCCUCUAAACCCGACGGAUAGAUUUUUCAUCGGCCCACUUCAACUUUAUAAUAAAAGUGAACUCAAACUAGA
rnacentral:lncRNA from 1 species